AUUACUUUGACAGAUAAGUGUGUUAAAUUUAGAAUUUAAUUAUAUAUAUUGAUAUAAAAAUAUGUAGGUAAUA
rnacentral:tRNA from 1 species